rnacentral:lncRNA from 1 species
GUGCGGCGCGUGCGCACAGGACGGGACGGGAGGGCGGAGCGACUGCGCAGAUCAGGAAAAUUGUCACCUCUGGCCUCAGGGAAACUGAGGCUCUGAGCAGUUAAGAGGCCAACGAUCCAGGUUUAUGCUAUCAGUGUCUGAGAUACAAUUAAGUCACCUUUUUGGGUGACAUUUCCCUUGACUAGUACCUCAAGAUUAUGAUCCAGGUGGACCAUCCUUCCAUUGCCUCCAGACAUGUCUAUGACGCUACCUAGGGAUUGUGAAGAUUUACCACCUGGUGGAAAAUUAAAAAAAAAAAAGACUUAUUCUGCAAAUUGACCAAGCUUAAGAGAUACAGCACUGAGAAUUCACCCACUACAGAGCUGGUAACCAGGCCUUCAGAGUGAGCUGUGAUGUAUAGCCAUUCUCCUCAGCAGCCUGUUUGACUGAGGGAUAUAGGAAUGACUGCACUUACCCAUGUUUUUGUUCAGAUUUAUGGUUCUAAAUCUGAUGGAAAAUCUAUCAUUGGACCAUUUGAUUCUUCCUAAAGAAAGGCCAAACCACCUGUCAAACCCACAAGCAACACAGCAAUGGCUAAGCUGAAGAAGCCAAGUUAUAUGUCUAGCUCCUCUGUGGGUGGCAGAAUCCAGCUGUGGGGAGGCCAAGGUUCCUUGUGUUCUUCUGGCUUGACUAUGAUAUUUCCAAUUUGGAGGCACAAAGAAUUGAGAACUUGGGGAUCCACUGAGGUCUGAGGCAUGGUGGUACCAGAAGAAAUAAAGGGACCAUCAGCGUGAAGCUGGUCCCCCAUCGACAGCACCCUGACUUCUCCAUCAGGUUCUAUCAGCAUGUCUACUGUGAGGUUGGUGACGCUGUCUGCAGAGGUCAGAAGAGGGCUUCGGAUCCACUGGCGCUGAACUGAUACAGGCUUCUGAGCCUUGAUAUGGGCGCUGGGAACUGAACCUGGGUCCUCUACAAGAACAAUGGACUUUAAGGAAGGAUCUGAACGCCAGCCAGUGCCGCAUGAUGCUCCUGAGAUCUUCCAUUCUUCCAAGAACAACCAUAGCAUAUACAAGACAGCACACCACCGUCGCCACUGCCAGUGCCGCUGUAUUGGUGGGCUACAUACACUUUCCAGCUUGUGAAUCGGGAGGCACACUUUCAAACAAAAACACUCUGUACAGCCUCAAGAGAAGGCUGCCUGCAACUGCUAGAGGUGGAGACACCACACAUGCUAUCGCAGUCCUUGGGUAAUAACUGUGUGUCAUAAAUAGGAUGUGUCAUUUCAGAAUGUCUUUAAAGCUAUUUCCUUUUGUUCAACUAAUUUAAUUUACCAAAUGCUCCUGGGGAAAGGGAGGGGGAUCAAGAUGCUGACUCCACAUUUCCUGGGGGGCGGCGGGGGGGGGGGGGGGGGGGGGGGGGGGGGGAUCACCAUUUCCUU